AUACGUAGGUGACAAGCGUUAUCCGGAUUUACUGGGCGUAAAGGGCGUGUAGGCGGUCUUGCAAGUCAGAAGUGAAAUUCCUGAGCUCAACUCGGGCGCUGCUUCUGAAACUGCAGGACUUGAGUGCUGGAGGGGAUAGCGGAAUUCCUAGUGGAGCGGUAAAAUGCGCAGAUAUUAGGAAGAACACCGGUGGCGAAGGCGGAUUUCUGGACAGAACCUGACGCUGAGGCGCGAAAGCGUGGGGAGAAAACAGGAUUAGAUCCCCUGGUAGUCCACGCCGUAAACGAUGAAUACUAGGUGGAGGUGGUAUCGACUCCCUCUGUGCCGCAGUUAACACAAUAAGUAUUCCGCCUGGGGAGUACGGCCGCAAGGUUGAAACUUAAAGGAAUUGACGGGG
rnacentral:rRNA from 1 species